GAGAGAGAGAGAGAGAGAGAAAUUAAUAAAGAAAUGAAAAUGUGGACAUCACUACAACAUAUCUAUGAUUUUAUAACAUAUAAUUAUAGCAUAUUUGAAGAAUGUUGUUGAUAUAUAAAAUAAUAGUAUUUUUAAUUAGAUUAGAAUGAAUUAGAUAAUACUUUACUUUUUAAUAGCAUUUUUAAAUAUUUAACAGCAUUAUCAAAAAUAAAUAAAAAAAAAGCAGAGGAUAUGCACACCUUGUAAAAUACAUUAAAAAUUAAACGCUUAUUUUUAGGAUUUGAGGAUUAGGAUACUAAAAUAUGAUGUUUCCCACAAAAAAAAAAAAAAAAAAAAAAAAAAAAAGCAAAGUCUUAGAUACAGAGAUUCACUGAGAGUCCAUCUACCGUCUUUCUCUUUCUAUCUUUGUGUCAUCCUCUUUUUCACCACUACCGUCUCUUCACCAUGCAGCUUCAAUGGGGUGUAAACUCAUGUGUAAAUACAUCGUCGAGGUAGCUAAUCCAUCGUUGAUUAGCGUUCGGACCAAAAACAUAGAGAGUGCUCUAUUCGUUGCAGCUAUUAAUAGAAACAAGGAAAUAUAGCUAUUAAUGGAAGAGACUCAUUUGUCAAUGUAUUGUUGCGAAAGCUCAAGGAAAAUCCAAUAUCAAAUCUCCAAUCUGAGGAUAGGAAGAAUGUCGUUCAAAGCUAUUCAGGGUAUUUCUCAAAAGCUAUUUUAUCUACGCAUGGAGACAUUGGAGGAAUGAAACAAGUUUGGAGCUAAUGGACCUAAUAGAGGACGUCAAUGGCUAGACAUGAAGCAAAGUCGUCCAGAAGAAAAAUAUUGUCAAAUAGUUUUUUUAUUUUUAUUUUUCACUAAUAACAUUUAGUGACAUUUUUUAUUAUUUACUUUAAGUGUACAUUUCAAAUGUUACUAUAUCAUAUGAUUAGUUUCAUCUAGUGAUUUUUUUUUUUUUUUUUUAAUCUUGAGAUUCUAA